CUUCCGUGGCACUCUUUGCUUCCACAGGAGCGAUGAAUUCUGGUUCGUCUCGCUCGGCUAAUUCCUCCGCCCAGAGAUCCAAGCGAAUUCUCGACAAUUCUUCUCCGUCGAGCCCUUCCAGUAGCGGUGCCAACAAGAAGAAACGGAUCGACCAGAAAACCCUAGGCGUCGCAUGGGGAGCCAAUUCCAGUUCAUCCUCUCGCUCCUCUCGCAAAUCGCCCUUUCCAGAUUUCGGAAGCUAUAUGGUAGAAAAGAACAGAAAACUGCACAAUCAGUUUAACGUUGACGCUUCAAGUGCUUCACAUAGUGGUACGAACUCCGGAAAUCAAAUAUUUCAGGGCGUUUCUAUAUUUGUUGACGGUUUCACGAUUCCUUCAAGUCAGGAAUUGCGGGGUUAUAUGUUGAAGUAUGGUGGCAGAUUUGAGAAUUAUUUUUCAAGACGUAGUGUUUCUCAUAUAAUUUGCAGCAAUUUACCGGACAGUAAAGUAAAGAAUCUCAGGUCCUUCAGCCGUGGACUUCCAGUUGUAAAACCCACAUGGAUCUUGGAUUCUGUUGCUUCUAAUGAGCUAUUAAGUUGGGUUCCUUACCAACUUGAUCAGCUUGUAAGUAAUCAACCAAGAUUAUCAGCAUUCUUUUCUAUGAAAAAAGGUCCGAUGUUGGAGAAACGCAAAAUGUGCAUGACUACUGAAAAGAACUAUGGAACAGAGGAUUCAAUGUCCCUGGUGGCUGUGAAUUUAAAGGAUUCACGGUCUGAAGUGAAUGAAUUGAUUGAAUCUAGAGCAGAGAUGCAUUCCGACUCUGAAAUGAAUCUUCAAGAUAAUGCAGAUACUGAACUGAAUGAGAAGCCAAGUGAUGAUUUAGAGGCUGGCGAAUUAAAGGAUACAAGUAUAUCUGAUGUAGAUGAAUCUGUUGAAUAUGUACCACAAACCUGUGAAAGUUUUGAGAUGCUUCCUCGAAAUAAUGCUGAUGUAGAAGUAAAGAAAGAGCCAAGCAACGAAAAAUGUGAUCAUGCAGAUGAAGAACCAGGAAUUGUUGAUGUGGGUCAGAGCAGUGAAGAAAAUAUAUCUAGUUUGCAUGGUUUGUCUAAGUCAACUCACAAUGAUAGCACCAAUAAUUAUUAUAGCGAUGGAUCGUCAAGUUCUUUGGUGGCCGGGUCUUCUAAGCUGCGGCAUUCAAAUUUUUGGAAGGCAGAUUUUGUGGAAAGUUAUUUCAAGAAGUCUAGGCUGCAUUUCAUUGGAACUUGGAGAAAUCGUUACUAUAAGCGUUUUCCACGUUCAGCUAGUGGGUCCAAUUCUGUAACUUCUCAUAUCAGUGGUUCUUCCCAUUAUCAGUCUACCACUAUUAUCCACGUUGACAUGGACUGCUUUUUUGUCUCAGUGGUUAUUCGAAACAGUCCACAAUUUAAGGAUAAACCUGUAGCUGUGUGCCACUCGGAUAAUCCUAAAGGAACUGCAGAAAUAUCAUCUGCAAACUACCCAGCUCGAGGUUAUGGAGUCAGAGCGGGAAUGUUUGUUAGAGAUGCGAAAGCUCUUUGUCCCCAACUUGUUAUUUUUCCAUAUGACUUCAAGUCCUAUGAGGAGGUAGCCGAUCAGUUCUAUGACAUAUUGCAUAAGCACUGUGAGAAAGUGCAGGCCUUAAGUUGUGAUGAAGCAUUUUUGGAUAUCUCAGGCACAGACAAGGUAGAUCCUGAGGUUUUGGCUUCAAAAAUUAGAAAAGAAAUUUUUGAUACAACUGGAUGUACUGCAAGUGCUGGAAUAUCUACAAAUAUGCUAAUGGCUCGCCUUGCUACCAGAACUGCAAAACCUGAUGGCCAGUGUUACAUUCCUUCGGAGAAGGUUGAUGAUUAUUUAGAUCCGCUUCCCAUUAAGGAUCUUCCCGGGAUAGGGUGUGCCUUGGAGGAGAAGUUGAAGAAAAGAAGUGUAUUUACUUGUGGUCAGCUGCGUAUGAUAUCCAAGGAUUCUCUUCAGAAAGACUUUGGAUUGAAAACAGGGGAGAUGCUAUGGAAUUAUAGUCGGGGGGUGGACAAUCGUGCAGUUGGGUUGAUCCAGGAAAGCAAAUCCAUAGGAGCUGAAGUGAAUUGGGGUGUUAGGUUCAAGGACUUCAAAGAUUGUCAAUGCUUUCUCUCGAACCUUUGUAAGGAGGUUUCAUUACGAUUGCAUGGAUGUGGAGUGCAGGGACGCACCUUUACCCUCAAGAUAAAAAAACGAAGGAAAGAUGCCGAUGAACCGACAAAGUAUAUGGGCUGUGGAGAUUGUGAAAACCUGAGCCACUCGUUGACGGUUCCUGAUGCCACUGAUGACCUGGAAAUUCUUCAGAGGAUUGCAAAGCAGCUUUUUGGGUUUUUUGUCAUAGAUGUCAAAGAAAUUCGUGGUAUUGGUUUACAAGUUUCGAAGCUUCAAAAUGUGGAUAUCUCUAAGCAAGGGAUGAAAAGAAACUCUUUGGACGCAUGGCUUCAUUCGUCUGGAACGACAAAUGUGGAAAAUAGUACUGGUCCUUUGGUAAAGGAAAGGGCUAAUAUAGAUAGUGAGAAACAGUGUGACUCUGGAGCUUUAGAUCAGUUAUCUGCUGAUCCUACAAGCCACCUAAUUCAAUUGGAGAAUAAUCAGCUCCACUGCGAAUCUUUGAACCCGGUUUCAGCUCCACCUCUGUGCAAUCUGGAUAUUGGAGUUAUAGGGAGCCUACCUCCUGAGCUCUUUUCAGAGUUAAAUGAAAUCUAUGGUGGAAAACUAGAUGAUCUCCUAGCUAAAAGCAGAUACAAAAGUGAAGCUUUCUCGUCUUCUUUAAGGGUUUCGUCUCAAGGACCAGGAGAAGGUGAUAGACUUACUUCAUCAGAUGCCCAAGAAAACAAAACACAGUUGGAAAAUAAGCACAUUGUUGAACGUUCCCCACCUGCACAGAUUUCUGGGGAAGGAUUGUGCAAUGUGGUGACUCCUAUACCCACCUCUGGAUCUCAUAGAAUUGAUUUACUACCUUCAUCUCUAAGUCAAGUAGAUCCGUCAGUAUUACAAGAGCUACCUGAACCUCUGAGGGAUGACAUACUUAAGCAACUCCCAGCACACAGGGGAAAAGAGCUUUCUUUAGAACAUUCAGUAAAAAUUCAUCACGAAUCUUGUGAUGCCACUGCCAGUACGUCUGGCUCAAUAGACUCUUUCACGGAGAAUGGUCUUUGGUCUGGGAACCCUCCUCUAUGGGUUGAUAAGUUUAAAGCCAGUAAUUGCUUGAUAUUACAAUUUCUUGCAGAGACGUAUACAGAGUCGGGGUCACCCGAAAAUCUUUAUGGGAUUUUGCUAAGGACUUUAUCUAAAUUUUGGCAUCCUCCAGUUCCGGAAUCUGAUGGUUGGGAUGGUGCUAUUUAUGGUUUAUGUGAACUUCUUAAGCAGUACUUUAAGUUAAAGAUAGAGCUGGACAUCGAGGAGACCUAUGCUUGUUUUCGUCUUCUUAAGAGGUUAGCGAUGAAAUCCCAGGUUUUUCUGGAAGUCUUCAACAUUAUCGAUCCUUACAUUCAGGGAGCAGUCAAUGAAUUCUACGGCGGAAGUUUGAAGGUGUAGACCCUUCACUCAUACUACGUUUUGACCAGAUAGCGUUGCGAUGGAAAUGUAUGUGCAGGGUAAGAUGCCUUCAAUAAUUCAGUGACGCAUAUUACAACUUGAUCAUCAUUUGACAAUCUUUAAACAAUGUGAUAAAGAAGUUAAGCUGUGGAGAACGAAGUAUCUGCUUCUUCAGAAAUUUCCUUUGGCAUGGUAGUAAAGACAGGCCCAGGCGGUUCCCAUCUCACUAAAUGAAAAGAAGGUACAAUCUCAAGCCCUUCUAGCAAAGUGGAUAUGGCGCUUCCAAGCUGAAAAAGUGGCACUUUGAGAAGAACUAGUGCGGCCGAAUAUGGUACCUUCCACUUAAACUUUUUCAUUGGUGGGUUUCAGAAUUUGUAAGUAGAAAUGAACAUUAAUUGAGAUAGAAAGAAAGUCCGACCAUAAUAUUGCCCGAUACCCCUGGAUUUGAGGUUUGAAGGUCCAGAAAUUUGGGAAAUAUAAAUGUUGGGUGGUCAGUCUAAUGGCGCGCGGUAAACAAAAUCACCCCGAGUGUCCGGCCCAUAAAGUAUUAUGACUUUCCUGGAUGAGCUUCUUCCUCAAUUCUCUCGUUCUCUAGACAUACAAUCUGUUUUCUUUUGUUAGUAGAAAUCUCUUCUUUGCGUUCA